rnacentral:rRNA from 1 species
UACGGAGGGUGCAAGCGUUAAUCGGAAUUACUGGGCGUAAAGCGCGCGUAGGCGGCUGGAUAAGUCGAUUGUGAAAGCCCCGGGCUCAACCUGGGAAUUGCAGUCGAGACUGUUCGGCUAGAGUGUGGGAGAGGGCAGUGGAAUUCCCGGUGUAGCGGUGAAAUGCGUAGAUAUCGAGAGGAACACCUGCGGCGAAGGCGGGUUGCUGGGCUGAUACUGACGCUGAGGCGCGAAAGCCAGGGGAGCGAACGGG